GACGAACGCUGGCGGCGUGCCUAAUACAUGCAAGUCGAGCGAAGUUUUUCUGGUGCUUGCACUAGAAAAACUUAGCGGCGAACGGGUGAGUAACACGUAAAGAACCUGCCUCAUAGACUGGGACAACUAUUGGAAACGAUAGCUAAUACCGGAUAACAGUAUUUCUCGCAUGGGAGAUAUUUAAAAGUUGGUUAUGCUAACACUAUGAGAUGGCUUUGCGGUGCAUUAGCUAGUUGGUUGGGUAAAGGCCCACCAAGGCGACGAUGCAUAGCCGACCUGAGAGGGUGAUCGGCCACACUGGGACUGAGACACGGCCCAGACUCCUACGGGAGGCAGCAGUAGGGAAUCUUCCGCAAAGGGCGAAAGCCUGACGGAGCAACGCCGCGUGAGUGAAGAAGGAUUUCGGUUCGUAAAGCUCUGUUGUUAGGGAAGAAUGGAUAUGUAGUAACUAUACAUGUAAGAGACGGUACCUAACCAGAAAGCCACGGCUAACUACGUG
rnacentral:rRNA from 1 species